rnacentral:piRNA from 1 species
UGCCAUCUGCAGUGAGGAGAACAGGA